ACAGCUAACCCCUCAGUAUUCUCAUAUUAAGCUAAGAAGCUGAAGGGAAAAUGCCCACACGUUGAGAAGAAUGAGCGAGCUAACGAAGAAAGCAGCUCUGUGACACCUCAGAAACCAAGCUUAAAAUCAAAUAUUCCAGUGAAGAGAACACACCAUCUCCCCACUAAUGCACCUGGGAGUGCAGUGGAAGACAGCUUGGGCCCCUGCACUCACUUGGAAGACCCGAAUAAAUCUUCUAGAUCCUGGCUUCAGUGUGGCUCCAACUACGGCCUUUGUGGCCAAGUGAACCACAGGCAGGUGCCUUGAGCAGUGUAAGGAAAAGUCCAAGACACAGAGAUGCAAAAGGAAGAAGAAAACUCCUGUGAAGUUCAAAAUCAGCGCUUCCCAAUUGUCUCCUCUUGCCUUGCCACAGACAGGCUCGGCUGUCGUGCUUCGGUGGUAGAAACUUGUCCUACUCAGGCUUUCUCCAGCAUUGUGAAGAGGGUAGUUAGAGAGACAAUGGCUCUGUUUAUAAGACUAAGAUCCGGGUUAGAGAUGACUGAGAGGAGGAGUUAGGGACUUUGAAAUUAUAAAGAUCCCUCUACAGGGCAGUUUAUAAAGACAAAACAAAACAAAAAUGUUUAAAAGCUGUAUCUUUAAGAAUUUGGUAGGCAUACUCCUAUGCCAAACUUCUGUCAUUUUUUCCAUUGGUUCCUCCAGGAUAGCAAUUGUUUCUCCCCAUUUUACAAAUGUGAAAUCAGAGGCUCAAAGAGGUUAUAAGCCAGUGCCAACCCUACUCAACUAGCGAGUUCACCCUCUUUUGGCUGCUCUCAUGAGAAGGUGUGGCCUUGUAGGGUAGGGGUGCUUCUCCUCUUUGCAGCCUUCACACAGGGGGUCCAACUGGGCAGUUAGGUUGGCAGCUGGCUGUUAGGGCACCGCCUUCACUUGGCUCUGAAUUGGCUGAAGGCAGAGAGGGGGCAGAGUGGCUUCCGGAAAGAGAUCGCCACCAUCUGUGUGGUUCCGUCGCAGCAGAGACUCCCAACCAGGACGAGGGACAGG